AUUUCAUGAUUUGGGAAUUGAGAAAGCUUACCGUUAAACCUAUUCCAAGCUUAAAAUAAUGGUUCUCCAUUCUUUUGAGAAAAAUUUACAAUCUUAUCCCAUUUUUGAAUAU
rfam:Capsicum annuum cultivar Zunla-1 chromosome 9, whole genome shotgun sequence